rnacentral:rRNA from 1 species
UACAGAGGGUGCGAGCGUUAAUCGGAAUUACUGGGCGUAAAGGGCGCGUAGGCGGCCUGCUAAGUCGAACGUGAAAUCCCUGGGCUCAACCCAGGAACUGCGUCCGAUACUGGUUGGCUUGAAUCCGGGAGAGGGAUGUGGAAUUCCAGGUGUAGCGGUGAAAUGCGUAGAUAUCUGGAGGAACACCGGUGGCGAAGGCGGCAUCCUGGACCAACACUGACACUGAGGAGCGAAAGCCAGGGGAGCAAACGGG